GGGCCGGUGGCGGAACGGCAGACGCUGCGGACUUAAAAUCCGCUGGUGGCAACACCGUGUGGGUUCGAUUCCCACCCGGCCUA
rnacentral:tRNA from 1 species